ACCGAAAGCAGGUCAGGUUUAGUGUCACUCGUGGAGCAGAAAUGACACACUGCAGCUUUAAGUGCAUCUUGUAAUUUAAACCUGUCCAAACUGCUCUUGUUUUUUCCUUUUCUUUUUCCAGCAGGAUCUUUCUCUCUCCGUCUCGCUCUUCCUCCCUCAAGCUGUACAGGGAAGUUAAUUUGGUGAUGAUGGCUAUGGAGGUCUUGGGAGGCUAAUAGCUUUUCCAGAUGUCAAAAGGCGCAAUGACGUGUGGAUCAGAUACCAUCGGAUUUCAUCAAAAAAAUCUUAAUUUGAAUUCCGAAGAUGAAUGAAAGUCUUACGGGUGUGGAACGACAUGAGGUCAUGCAGACUGAGUGCUCCGGCCGGCUGCGCCCUCACAAACUCAUCAAAUCUUGAGUGUUUCCUCAGAGAUGGCGGCCUACACUAGAAAACUCUUCCUGUGGCGCUCCAGCUCUCCAGCGCUCAUUACAGAGACCAACUGCAAGAUUCAUCAGGCGGAGCUCAGAUUCCCUCUUUAAUAUUUCACUAAGGAACAGUCCUGCUCAGCGCUGUUACAAUGCCUAAUCACUCAGAGGAGAAAAAACGAAUUAACCCGGUGAAGACGACUGGAUCAUAUUUGAUUGGCUUCUAAAUGAAUCGGCUCAACUAACUCUUAUUAGAGUAUUAGUGGACUGUUAGUAUACUGAAAAGGUUUAGGUUAGCAGAAUAUGUUGACAUAUAUUUGUAAAGUUACUUAUAUAGUUACUUAUAUGGUGGACAUUCAAAAUAAAAUGUUACCAAUUUUACUUCCUUAAUGUGUAACAUGAUAUUAAAUGGGGGAUAAAAUGUAAGUCAGGCCUUUAAUGUGCAGUUGAUUGGAUGUUGAAAAGCUUCUCUAUAUGACUGAAACACAGGAUUGUAAGCGCCACUUACAUUUCCUUCAGAAAAUCCUGUUAAUAAACACUUUAC